rnacentral:rRNA from 1 species
GUCUGCGUGGAGCCGACCUUGAAAUACCACCCUUUAAUGUUUGAUGUUCUAACGUGGACCCGUUACCCGGGUUGCGGACAGUGUCUGGUGGGUAGUUUGACUGGGGCGGUCUCCUCCUAAAGAGUAACGGAGGAGCACGAAGGUUGGCUAAUCCUGGUCGGACAUCAGGAGGUUAGUGCAAUGGCAUAAGCCAGCUUGACUGCGAGCGUGACGGCGCGAGCAGGUGCGAAAGCAGGUCAUAGUGAUCCGGUGGUUCUGAAUGGAAGGGCCAUCGCUCAACGGAUAAAAGGUACUCCGGGGAUAACAGGCUGAUACCGCCCAAGAGUUCAUAUCGACGGCGGUGUUUGGCACCUCGAUGUCGGCUCAUCACAUCCUGGGGCUGAAGUAGGUCCCAAGGGUAUGGCUGUUCGCCAUUUAAAGUGGUACGCGAGCUGGGUUUAGAACGUCGUGAGACAGUUCGGUCCCUAUCUGCCGUGGGCGCUGGAGAACUGAGGGGGGCUGCUCCUAGUACGAGAGGACCGGAGUGGACGCAUCACUGGUGUUCGGGUUGUCAUGCCAAUGGCACUGCCCGGUAGCUAAAUGCGGAAGAGAUAAGUGCUGAAAGCAUCUAAGCACGAAACUUGCCCCGAGAUGAGUUC